rnacentral:rRNA from 1 species
UACGAAGGGGGCUAGCGUUGUUCGGAAUUACUGGGCGUAAAGCGCACGCAGGCGGAUUGGUAAGUUAGGGGUGAAAUCCCGGGGCUCAACCUCGGAAUUGCCUUUGAUACUGCCAGUCUUCGAGUCCGAGAGAGGUGAGUGGAAUUCCUAGUGUAGAGGUGAAAUUCGUAGAUAUUAGGAAGAACACCAGUGGCGAAGGCGGCUCACUGGCUCGGUACUGACGCUCAGGUGGCGAAAGCGUGGGAGCAAACAGGAUUAGAAACCCUGAGAGUACCGAGU